rnacentral:rRNA from 1 species
GAUGAACGCUGGCGGCGUGCUUAACACAUGCAAGUCGAGCGAAACACUUUAUUUAGAUUUCUUCGGAAUGAAGAAUUUUGUGAUUGAGCGGCGGACGGGUGAGUAACGCGUGGAUAACCUACCUCAUACAGGGGGAUAACAGUUAGAAAUGACUGCUAAUACCGCAUAAGACCGCAGUACCGCAUGGUACAGUGGUAAAAACUCCGGUGGUAUGAGAUGGAUCCGCGUCUGAUUAGCUAGUUGGUGAGGUAAUGGCCCACCAAGGCGACGAUCAGUAGCCGACCUGAGAGGGUGACCGGCCACAUUGGGACUGAGACACGGCCCAAACUCCUACGGGAGGCAGCAGUGGGGAAUAUUGCACAAUGGGCGAAAGCCUGAUGCAGCGACGCCGCGUGAGUGAUGACGUAUUUCGGUAUGUAAAGCUCUAUCAGCAGGGAAGAAAAUGACGGUACCUGACUAAGAAGCCCCGGCUAACUACGUG